GAAAAGACACGGAUAGACGUAUCCUAAAGGCAGAGGGAGGAGGAUGGCGAAGGAGAGAAGAAUGCCGUGACUAUUCUCGUAUUCUACCUGGCUCUGACUACAGGGAUUUCUCACAAAGACAUAUGAUAAAGAAUGGAGAAGGGGCUUCCCUGGUGGCACAGUGAUUAAAAAUCCGCCUGCCAAUGCAGGGGACA